rnacentral:rRNA from 1 species
UACGUAGGGUGCGAGCGUUGUCCGGAAUUACUGGGCAUAAAGGGUGCGUAGGUGGUUUGUUAAGUCAGGGGUGAAAUCCCGCGGCCCAACCGUGGAACUGCCUUUGAUACUGGCGAACUUGAGUGCGUGAGGGAUAAGGGGAACGAGCAGUGUAGCGGUGAAAUGCGUAGAUAUUGCUCGGAAGGCCAGAGCCGAAGGGGCCCUACUGGUGCGCAACUGACACUGAGGCACGAAAGCGUGGGGAGCAAACAGG